rnacentral:rRNA from 1 species
UACAGAGGGGGCAAGCGUUAUUCGGAAUUAUUGGGCGUAAAGAGCGCGCAGGCGGUCGUUCAAGUCGCGUGUGAAAGCCCCCGGCUCAACUGGGGAGGGUCACGCGAUACUGGUCGACUCGAAGGCAGGAGAGGGUAGUGGAAUUCCCGGUGUAGUGGUGAAAUGCGUAGAUAUCGGGAGGAACACCAGUGGCGAAGGCGACUACCUGGCCUGUUUCUUGACGCUGAGGCGCGAAAGCUAGGGGAGCAAACGGG